UACGGAGGGUGCAAGCGUUAUCCGGAUUCACUGGGUUUAAAGGGUGCGUAGGCGGGCAGGUAAGUCAGAGGUGAAAUCUCCGGGCUUAACCCGGAAACUGCCUUUGAUACUAUCUGUCUUGAAUAUGGUGGAGGUAAGCGGAAUAUGUCAUGUAGCGGUGAAAUGCUUAGAGAUGACAUAGAACACCCAUUGCGAAGGCAGCUUACUACGCCUAUAUUGACGCUGGAGGCACGAAAGCGUGGGGAUCAAACAGG
rnacentral:rRNA from 1 species